AGGGUAGACGGGGAGCAGAGGAGCAGCCAGCGGAUCAGGAGGAGCAGCAGAUCCGGGUUCAGCGGUGGCUGCAGCCAUGGGACGCUAGGAUGAUCCAGGGGGGCCUUGAUGCAAGCGGAUGCCGAAUCUCUCUGGUGCGGCGCGGUGGCCGUACGUCAGGGAGAGGCACCGGGCCGACGCCGCAGCAGCCCAUACGUUACCUUCCUCGUCCAGCCGUCUUCCUCCGAGAUCUGUUGGACGCAGGGUAGAGGAGGAGCACGAGGAGGAGCAGAUCCAUGUUCUGCGAUGCUGGCCGCAGCCAUGCAUGGGACGCUAGGUCGAUCCAGGGGAGGCGACUGAUGCCAGCGGAUGCCAUUCUUUUCAGGAGCCACAUGAGGUUUGUCUUAAACUACUGUAUGAUUCUAGUCAUCAGUAUUCGCUACUGUUUGCUUCAGUUACCACAUGAGGUUUGCCUUAAACUUUGAUUCUAGUGCGCAUUCUAUGAUCAGAGCUGCUGGUUUUUAGCGUGUGGGAACUGAAACUUGUAACCAAGUUUCCAUGUCGCACGAAAACUUGCACCGCGGAGAACAUUUCUCUUUGCUAUCACGAUAGGCGGAAUGCUCAGUCUUACUUUGAUGCUCGGUCACACAAGCUAUCGUGGACUGAAUAUUGAAAUAGUACCGUAUUGUAUUAUACUAGUAAACUGGAAAGAUUCUGCAAUGACCACACAUAUCUUUGCCGUCUUGACUAGAGUAUAGGUUACCGAUAAUAUCGUUGCUUAAGAGUAUCUCUAAAGCGGACCUUCAAAGUCCACGUAUAUAUCCGGACCACAAUGUUUGGAUCAGCUUUUGUCAUUCAAUACGAACUCAUAUGUCCAUGGACCAGUCCGCAUGUUCGAAAUCCCGAUAUCCUGGGAACAACCGUGAGGGGGAUAUGCGGGAGUUCGAACAUCCUCUUGACCAACAAAAAGCUACCACGUGCCUACGCUACCACACAUUCUGUUCUCCCCUCUCUCUCCUCCAAUACAGGGACCACGCACCCACUUGCCCUCUCCUCCUUUCUCCCACUGCAAUUUCUCUCACGAAAUUUGCAAAUAGCUUUGGAUGGUUUCCUUCCGCAUCUCGUCCGGGUACCACGUCCGGACACGUUUGAGGAAAUUUGUAGUGUCUGUUUUAGGGAUUUGCACUAGAGGCGCCCUCAGGCUGCUUAUUACCAAGUGGGAAUUUGCGGGUUCGAUUUUAAUUAGAGGGCAUUUAAGUUUGAUUGUUUUUCUCCAUAGUUUUUUUUAAGAAACCAGGAGUUAUUUUUUUCAUUUCAGUUAAAAAUUCGAAGUAAUCAUACUUGAAAUAGUAAACACUACUUGUCUUCUUUCCGUAUGUAGGAAACUUUCCUUGUUUACAAUUUUUAGUCUAAUACUUCAUGAGGAAAUUUGUGGCAUUAGAUCAACUCUAGCAGAGUUGUCAUAUCAAGCCAAACACAUAAUAACCUGUAUGGUAACUUUGACCCCAAAAAAGUCGUUCUAGCAGAGUCGCCAUCCACCACUCCAAUUGCCAUAUGUUUGGAGGGAACUCCGAAUCAAGACCUGCCUCAAUAUUUGGAGGAUGGGGAGAGGGACAUUUAGAGCGCACUCCAUCUCGAAAACUGCUACUUGGCAUGAGCGACAUUUCCCCUCUCUCCCCUCUUCCCGCCCGCGACGCCACCUGACAUACCUCAUCGUAGCACAACCUCCUUUCGACCACAUGACAUGUCGAUGACACCAUGAACUCCGACACGACCCCUACAUCCCAUUCCUCCGGUGUCCCACGAGAUCAUGCGCUUCCCGCUCAUCCUACUCCUCCAUA